rnacentral:rRNA from 1 species
AUUGAACGCUGGCGGCAUGCUUUACACAUGCAAGUCGAACGGUAACAGGUCUUCGGAUGCUGACGAGUGGCGAACGGGUGAGUAAUGCAUCGGAACGUGCCCAGUCGUGGGGGAUAACGCAGCGAAAGCUGUGCUAAUACCGCAUACGAUCUAUGGAUGAAAGCGGGGGACCGUAAGGCCUCGCGCGGUUGGAGCGGCCGAUGUCAGAUUAGGUAGUUGGUGGGGUAAAGGCCCACCAAGCCAACGAUCUGUAGCUGGUCUGAGAGGACGACCAGCCACACUGGGACUGAGACACGGCCCAGACUCCUACGGGAGGCAGCAGUGGGGAAUUUUGGGCAAUGGGCGCAAGCCUGAUCCAGCAAUGCCGCGUGCAGGAAGAAGGCCUUCGGGUUGUAAACUGCUUUUGUACGGAACGAAACGGUCUGGGUUAAUACCCUGGGCUAAUGACGGUACCGUAAGAAUAAGCACCGGCUAACUACGUGCCAGCCGCCGCAGUAA